rnacentral:piRNA from 1 species
CGCGAGAUCGCGCAGGACUUCAAG